UACGGGGGGGCAAGCGUUGUUCGGAAUUACUGGGCGUAAAGGGCUCGUAGGCGGCCAACUAAGUCCGACGUGAAAUCCCCAGGCUUAACCUGGGAACUGCGUCGGAUACUGGAUGGCUUGAAUCCGGGAGAGGGAUGCGGAAUUCCAGGUGUAGCGGUGAAAUGCGUAGAUAUCUGGAGGAACACCGGUGGCGAAGGCGGCAUCCUGGACCGGCAUUGACGCUGAGGAGCGAAAGCGUGGGGAGCAAACAGG
rnacentral:rRNA from 1 species